GGUAAUUGGGACUGCUAAAAAUUUCAACUACAAAAAAGCUGGCUGAGCAUUCUGGGAAUUGUAUUCCACACCAUAGUCACUAAAGUGUUUUCUCGCCGGUAGAAUCUCUGCACAUGACAUUGGCAGCACGAUGAUAAUGAUUCAUAGCCUCGUGGAACACACAGAGCCUCCUGAAAUGAUGCGUGGAUUUCAACGCUCAAAGGCAUCCUGAUAAAAAAUAAAAUGUCCGUCAUCGAUGAUGAAUAGACAUCUCCAGCUGGGUAUUAUAGAUUAGAGCAGAAACGCGUGUUGUAGAAGAUCCGAGCGAUCAAUUACUUUUAACUUGUUUAGGAUGUGGAAGCUACAAGAAAACUGCAAUUUGGGUGAAACCUUAGAGCAAUUUAUAAUGACAUGUUAUAAACGGCGACGGGAAGAGAAACAGGGUUUUUCUAGGUGUUAAAGUUAUAUUUUUCCAGAAGGGAUACAAACCGAAAAAGAAAA